GACGUAGGGGGCGAGCGUUGUCCGGAGUUACUGGGCGUAAAGGGCCCGCAGGCGGUCUGGCGCGUUGGGAGUGACAGCCGGUGGCUUAACUGCCGGAGGACUUUCAAGACGGCUGGACUUGAGAGGUUCAGAGGGACACGGAACUCCCGGUGGAGCGGUGAAAUGCGUAGAGAUCGGGAAGAACACCAAAGGCGAAGGCAGUGUCCUGGGGACCAUCUGACGCUCGGGGGCGAAGGCCAGGGGAGCGAACGGG
rnacentral:rRNA from 1 species